rnacentral:rRNA from 1 species
GACGAACGCUGGCGGCGUGCUUAACACAUGCAAGUCGUACGGUAAGGCCCUUUCGGGGGUACACGAGUGGCGAACGGGUGAGUAACACGUGAGUAACCUGCCCACAACUUUGGGAUAACGCUAGGAAACUGGUGCUAAUUCUGGAUAUGUGCUCCUGCUGCAUGGUGGGGGUUGGAAAGCUCCGGCGGUUGUGGAUGGACUCGCGGCCUAUCAGCUUGUUGGUGGGGUAGUGGCCUACCAAGGCGGCGACCGGUAGCCGGCCUGAGAGGGUGACCGGCCACAUUGGGACUGAGAUACGGCCCAGACUCCUACGGGAGGCAGCAGUGGGGAAUAUUGCACAAUGGGCGCAAGCCUGAUGCAGCAACGCCGCGUGCGGGAUGACGGCCUUCGGGGUGUAAACCGCUUUCGCCUGUGACGAAGCGUGAGUGACGGUAAUGGGUAAAGAAGCACCGGCUAACUACGUG